rnacentral:rRNA from 1 species
UACGUAGGGACCAAGCGUUGUUCGGAUUUACUGGGCGUAAAGGGCGCGUAGGCGGCGACUCAAGUCAGCUGUGAAAUCUCCGGGCUUAACUCGGAACGGUCAGCUGAUACUGCUUUGCUAGAGUGCAGAAGGGGCAAUCGGAAUUCUUGGUGUAGCGGUGAAAUGCGUAGAUAUCAAGAGGAACACCUGAGGUGAAGACGGGUUGCUGGGCUGACACUGACGCUGAGGCGCGAAAGCUAGGGUAGCAAACGGG